GGGCGUUUAGCUCAGCUGGUUCAGAUCAUCUGCCUUACAAGCAGAGGGUCGGCGGUUCGAAUCCGUCAACGCCCA
rnacentral:tRNA from 1 species